CGGUUGCUUUGCGACACGUCAGGCUGCGCUAUCCCUGGGGCCAAUAAUCACCUCUAGGGAGCUGUCCCUGUCGGACCCGUGGGUCCGGUAUACGGCGCCCACCUGCAUUGCAGGUCACAGAGGAUACUAAAGCCAACGGUCGUACAGCGCCGUC
rnacentral:other from 1 species